UAGGGAAUCUUCCGCAAUGGACGAAAGUCUGACGGAGCAACGCCGCGUGAGCGAUGAAGGCCUUCGGGUCGUAAAGCUCUGUUGUUAGGGAAGAACAAGUACCGUUCGAAUAGGGCGGUACCUUGACGGUACCUAACCAGAAAGCCACGGCUAACUACGUGCCAGCAGCCGCGGUAAUACGUAGGUGGCAAGCGUUGUCCGGAAUUAUUGGGCGUAAAGCGCGCGCAGGCGGUUCCCUAAGUCUGAUGUGAAAGCCCACGGCUCAACCGUGGAGGGUCAUUGGAAACUGGGGAACUUGAGUGCAGAAGAGGAAAGCGGAAUUCCACGUGUAGCGGUGAAAUGCGUAGAGAUGUGGAGGAACACCAGUGGCGAAGGCGGCUUUCUGGUCUGUAACUGACGCUGAGGCGCGAAAGCGUGGGGAGCAAACAGGAUUAGAUACCCUGGUAGUCCACGCCGUAAACGAUGAGUGCUAAGUGUUAGGGGGUUUCCGCCCUUAGUGCUGCAGCUAACG
rnacentral:rRNA from 1 species